UCGGGAAUCUUGCGCAAUGGGCGAAAGCCUGACGCAGCAACGUCGUGUGGGCGAUGAAGGCCUUCGGGUCGUAAAGCCCUGUUGUUGGGGACGAAGGGCUCUUGGGGUUAAUAGCCCCGAAGCCUGACGGUACCCUUCGAGGAAGCCCCGGCUAACUACGUGCCAGCAGCCGCGGUAAUACGUAGGGGGCGAGCGUUGUCCGGAAUCAUUGGGCGUAAAGAGCGUGUAGGCGGUCCGGGUAAGUCCGUCGUGAAAAUCCGGGGCUCAACCCUGGGCUUGCGGUGGAUACUGUCGGGCUAGAGGAUGGUAGAGGGGAGUGGAAUUCCCGGUGUAGCGGUGAAAUGCGCAGAUAUCGGGAGGAACACCAGUAGCGAAGGCGGCUCCCUGGGCCAUUCCUGACGCUGAGACGCGAAAGCUAGGGGAGCGAACAGGAUUAGAUACCCUGGUAGUCCUAGCCGUAAACGAUGAACACUAGGUGUGGGGGGAGUCGAAUCCCUCUGUGCCGCAGCCAACGCGAUAAGUGUUCCGCCUGGGGAGUACGGCC
rnacentral:rRNA from 1 species